AGACAUUCUCUACCUCUAGCUUCCCACUGUAAUUCUGUGAGGCAACAGAUUGACCAUUGUGCUAGUGUUCCGAGCUCAGUGGACCCUGUUUGCCACGUUCCAGGAGACUGCUGUGUCAACCAGAAAGCCAAGGGUUCAGUUGUCAGAGUCCUUUAAGAUGAAAAAGGUUACCCUGGAGUAAAAUCGACAGCAUGAAUUUACAAUGAAAGAUCAGCAUACACACGUGGGGAAAAAAAUCACCUUGAAGUCAGCAGAAACAGCCAAUUUAGACCUUUAAAGUCUUCAGCAAUUCCUUCAGUUAUGAACUUUGACCAGUUUUGGCACGAGAAGCACAAACAAAUUUGACAGAAAAGCACAUUCCAUGCUGCUUGAAGUGGGAGGAAAGAGGACUUACCCAUUAUUCAGCCUUUGCCUUCCUCCGGCUCCAGCCAAGACACAGACACCCGUUGAAGUCAAAUCUCAGGCUGAAGACUGAAUUUAGUCGGACAAAUCGGGACUCACAUCUUUAAACCUGUCUCUUCACCCAAAUCAUUAGGACAAUGGUCCUCACCUGCCUCAUGUGGUUAAUCAGCAGAUUCAAUGAGAAAAUGUAUUUGAAUGCUAUCACAUAUUAAGCAUUCAAAAGAACCAGCAGUAGUAGCAUUAGGAAAAGUUAUAAUAUUAAAGUACAUGAAUUAGAACAAGGGAAAAGAACUGAAUUAAAUAUUU